GAUAAACGCUGGCGGCGUGCAUAACACAUUCAAGUCGAACGGGAAUCUUUUGAUGGAGGCUUCGGCCGAAAGAGAAAGAGGAUAGUGGCGGACGGGUGAGUAACGCGUGAGCAACCUGCCUUUAUGAGGGGGAUAACAGCCGGAAACGACUGCUAAUACCGCAUAAUGUAUCAAGAGGGCAUCCGAAAGAUAUCAAAGGAGAAAUCCGCAUAAAGAUGGGCUCGCGUCUGAUUAGCUAGUUGGUAAGGUAACGGCUUACCAAGGCGACGAUCAGUAGCCGGACUGAGAGGUUGAACGGCCACAUUGGAACUGAGAUACGGGUCCAGACUCCUACGGGAGGCAGCAGUGGGGAAUAUUGGGCAAUGGGCGAAAGCCUGACCCAGCGACGCCGCGUGAGGGAAGAAGGUCUUCGGAUUGUAAACCUUGUUGACAGGGAAGAAGAAAGUGACGGUACCUGUAAAGAAGCCACGGCUAACUACGUG
rnacentral:rRNA from 1 species